rnacentral:rRNA from 1 species
GACGAACGCUGGCGGCGUGCUUAACACAUGCAAGUCGAACGGUGAAAGCGGAGCUUGCUCCGCUGGAUCAGUGGCGAACGGGUGAGUAACACGUGGGCAACCUGCCCCUCACUUCGGGAUAACUCCGGGAAACCGGGGCUAAUACCGGAUAUGACCUCCUUGGGCAUCCUUGGAGGUGGAAAGUUUUUCGGUGAGGGAUGGGCCCGCGGCCUAUCAGCUUGUUGGUGAGGUAGUGGCUCACCAAGGCGACGACGGGUAGCCGGCCUGAGAGGGUGACCGGCCACACUGGGACUGAGAUACGGCCCAGACUCCUACGGGAGGCAGCAGUGGGGAAUAUUGCACAAUGGGCGCAAGCCUGAUGCAGCGACGCCGCGUGAGGGAUGACGGCCUUCGGGUUGUAAACCUCUUUCAGCACCGACGAAGCGCAAGUGACGGUAGGUGCAGAAGAAGGACCGGCCAACUACGUGCCAGCCGCCGCAGUAA